GCCUACAGCCAUACCACCUGAACGUGCCCAAUCUCAUUUGAUCUCGGAAGCUAAGCAGGUUCGGGCCUGGUUAGUACUUGGAUGGGAGACAACCUAGGAAUACCAGGUGCUGUAGGCA
rnacentral:rRNA from 1 species